GGUCAUGUGGCUCAGUGGAAAGAGCAUAGACUCUGAAGUCAGAGGGCGUGGGUUCUAAUCCCUGUGUGACUU
rnacentral:tRNA from 1 species